GCGGACGUGGCUCAGCUGGUAGAGCAUCACCUUGCCAAGGUGAGGGUCGCGGGU
rnacentral:tRNA from 1 species